rnacentral:rRNA from 1 species
UCCGAAGGGAGCUAUCGUUGUUCGGAAUCACUGGGCGUAAAGCGCACGUAGGCGGACGUGUCAGUCAGGGGUGAAAUCCCGGGGCUCAACCUCGGAACUGCCUUUGAUACAGCACGUCUUGAGUCCGGAAGAGGUGGGUGGAAUUCCUAGUGUAGAGGUGAAAUUCGUAGAUAUUAGGAAGAACACCGGUGGCGAAGGCGGCCCACUGGUCCGGUACUGACGCUGAGGUGCGAAAGCGUGGGGAGAAAACAGG